UUGGUAACUUGAGCUAUGCAAGAAAAGAUGUUGGAGAGUAUUGGAAGAAUAAGAUGAAUGAGCAAGCUAUGCCAGAAGCAAUUAAAAACCUUGUUCAAGUUCAAAAACAAGACCAUUUUGUUAGGGACUUUGAUGUACAUCCUAAUAUCAUAUUAUAUCAUACACAUGUCCAUGAGAAACAGGAGAAGCCUUUGGCACCUUAAGUAAGGAGCUUAGAGUCGUUGUUACCAAAAAGGUUUGAAGUUAAACCUUAUAAAACUAAUAAACUAUAAAUUAGAUUCUUAAAUAUAUGUAGCCACCAAGGCAUUUGUUAUGACUAUAUGAACUAUGUCAUUAUUUGAAAUUUAAAAUGUCAUUUAUGUAUUGGCUUCUAGAAUUCUAUUAUGUAUGCCCAUAAAUAAAUAAAAAAAUAUCUUCCCUAUUGCUAACUUCAGUGUUUGAGAAUUAAAUCUCUAUGAAUUAAUAAUAUUGGGACCGUAAAUUUUUAUUUAUUUAUUUAGAUAGCUAUUAAUUAGUUAGUCAAUUAAUUAAUUAAUUAAUUAAACGACUGUUUCUUAAUUUCAAAUUCCUCUUGAUAGUGUUAUGUUAAUUAUAGGUAGUGUCGUUUCUAACGUACAUUAACAAUUAACUUUACAAUGAUAAUAGACUUAGCUUGAAAUUCCAAAAUAAGCAGUUAAAUCUCAAAUACAAGCUCAUUGUGUUUAAACACUAUAACUAUCAUUAAGGAUUAUCAACAUUUCGUUCCUCUAACAUAUGUACUUGUUUUAAGGAUUAUCGAUUCAUUAUAUUCUCGUCCGGAAGUGUUUGAUGAAAGUGGAAUUGUUGAUAAUCUCAUCCAGGGUGGUCCCUUAAGAUUUUGAGAGUAUGCACUGUAAUGCGAAACUUAGCUACGACCAGCAGAGUCACGGUUAUCUUAAAAUUUUAUUCUUUGUUAAAAAUAUAUAUAUGCACAAUAAUGUUUAUCUAUAAUAUAUGAUAUAUAUAAUUAAUUUAUCGUUAAUAAUGUUAAAUUGUAGAAUUACUUAAUAGUAAUAGAGACUUUUAUAUAUUUUAUGUCUAUCAAGGUUUAGCUCCCUCAAUAAAAUUUGUCAAGAUCCGUCACAAGUUAAUUUAGUGUCAUUUUUCUUUUUUCAUCAUAAAAGUUAAAGAUCACAUAAGUAUUGAAAAAAUUCAUAUCAAACCAAAAUCAAAAUUAAAUUAUAGUAAAACAUAAUUAAUAUUAUUAUAUAAUAUAUGCAAGUAUUAGAAAAACAAUGAAAUAUUUUAACAAACUAAUAUCAUAAAAAAACUUGAUUUUGAUUCAAUUGUUAAAAUAAAAUUUCACUAUCAAGAUUAUUAAGAUUAUUGAAUCACUAAACUUAUAAGAAUCACUAAAUUUCAAAUAAGUUUCAAGACUUUUACAACAUAAUUUCAAAUAUUCAUAGAAAAUGACUUUAGUAUUUCAAUACAAAACAAAAAUUAAAAAAUAUUCUCACAUGUUCUAUAUUGCUCUAAUAUUCUAUUAAAUUGGUCAAUUAUUUAAUCUACGAUAUAUAAAAAUAAUGAAUCUUAAAAAAUACUAUUUAGCAAUUUAGCAGUUCAAGGUUUUCCUCUAAAAAUAAUUAAUAAAAUUGUCUUUUGUCUAUCAAUGACUGAAUUGGUGUUUUUGUUUUUAUUUAGGCAUCAUUUUUAGAAUUUCUGAAAUUUAGGUUAGAGCUUUUUAGUGGAUAAAAAAACUAAAUGUAUAAUUUAGAUUGGUACAUGAAAGAAUAUUAUCCUAUAAUAACAUAGUAAAAAAUCAUCUCGAUCUUUUUUAUGAGACAGUUGAAUCAACAAAAAUUAAUUUAUUUAAUCAAUAUAAUUUUAGUAUAGAUCAGUAAUUAGUUUAUUUAAAAUUAUUUUAAUAUCGCAAUAUAACUUUUUAGGAUAUAUAUAUAUAUAUAACAACAACCGACUAAAUAUUUCAGAAUAGAUAGAUAAAGAGACAAAAUAUAAAGUUUCAUCUAGUUUUGUGAAACUUUAAAAUUUGGAUACUCAAGUUAGCAUCCAGGCAUACAACAAGUCCAAUUCUAAUUUUCUACAUUGGAAUUUUAAAAGCUAUAAAACAAAGCUUCCAUGCCAUCGUUAUAAAUAUUUAGAGACACCAUGUGGAAUUUUAAAUUAUGAACAACAUUAAAAACACCUAAAAGAUGCACCUAAAACAUGAGAAAGGGAUAUAAUGAAAGAUGGUCGAUUGUGUUGGAAAAAAAAAAUUGGUCGGUGUACACGGCUCUACUGAACAUAUAAUUAAAAAAAUGAUAAAUUUUGAUUUCUUUAUAUAUAUAAAUUUUGGCUGUUAUUAUUAUUUUUUCCCACUUGCAGAUAUGACUCUAGUGGGCAUAAAUUGAAGUAAAACUCUCCAAGAAACAAAAAUUUGACUUCCCUUGGAACUUCAAAUCUACUUAAUGAUGAUAACGAUCUCUUCAAUUGGUUAAUUUAAAAGUGCACGUGUACCAACUUUAACAUUAAUUAUCAAUAUGCACCUUCUACAUGCAUAUAUAUAUAUAUAUAUAUAUAUAUAUAUAUAUAUAUAUAUAUAUAUAUCAAUGGCUAUUGUGUCAAUCCAAAAGAAAAAUACUAAUCAAAUUACAUAAGGAAAAAAAUAAUGAAGUCCAACCUUUUUGCCUUGUUGCUUAUUUUCUCUCUUCUCAUGGUAAGCUUUUCUCUAUGGAAGUUUUUUUGAUUUUUUUGAUUUUUUUAUUAAAUUAAUUAGUUAACACUGUUAUUAUUAUUUGAGAUUUAAUUGAAUAUUUUUGUGAUGAUACCUUUGUUUUUAUAUUUUUCUAUGGUGAAAUGAAUAGGUUGGUAACAUGAGCAAUGCAAGAAAAGAUGUGGGAGAGUAUUGGAAGAAUAAGAUGAAUGAGCAAGUUAUGCCAGAAGCAAUUAAAAACCUUGUUCAAGUUCAAAAACAAGAUCAUUUUGUUAGGGAUUUUGAUGUUCACCCUAAUAUCAUUUUAUAUCAUACACAUGUUCAUGAGAAUAAGGAGAAGCCUUUCGAACCUUAAGUAAGGAACUUAUUAGAGUCAUUGUUACCAAAAAGGGUUGAAGUUAAACCUUAUAAGACUAAUAAACUAUAAAUUAGAUUCUUAAAUAUAUGGAGCCAUCAAGGCAUUGUUAUGACUAUAUGAACUAUGUCAUUGUUUGAUAUAUAAAAUGUCAUUUAUGUAUGCCGAUAAAUAAAUAAAUAAAUAUCUUCGUUAUUGUUAACUUGAGUACUUGUUAAUUUAUCCAUUUUUUUGUCCUGUACAUUAAUUCUUUUUAUUUUAUUUUUUAUGAUAAAUAUAGGUGUCAAUAUACUAUUUUAUUAUGCAUCUAUUUAUAUAAUUAUCAAGAUGGCUCUUGACAAUUUUAUAUUGUUCAAUUAAUCCUCACAAGAAAACUUGGAAGAAAUAAUUUCGUGAAUCACACUUUAGCCCUUUGAGAUUGUCUAAAACAUUUAUCUAUCUCUAUAUUGUAAAGUAUGUUGGUUUUAUAGGAAAAAAACUUGCUCCUAUUUUUUUUUUUUUGUUUUCAAAGGACUUAUGCGGUAUAUUUAUAAAUUGAUAUGAUUUAAUAUAAUUAAAUUAAUUAACCAAUAAUUAGAUUACACGACUUUAAUGAAUCAAUGCGAUUAAAUUAUAGAUUUAUCAUCACCAAAGCUUUUAAGUUUUACAUUUUGAAUAUAUUUUGAUUUGUUAUAUUUUUAAUUAAAAAUUUUAAUUAUAAAAAUAAUUUAUAUAAUUGUUGAGAAGUAAAAUAAAUGGACAAAUGUAUGUACUAUUGAGUUACUUAAUCUUUACUAUAUAAUAUAUUGACCGAUGACUUAGAAAGAAACUAACUCAAUUAUGAUAAAAAUUAUCAUAUGUUAUAUAUUAUCAAGGAUACUUAAGUGGCUUAACCUAAAAUUUUAUCGCUUACAAAGCUUAACGGUCUACUUCACUAACCAAACCGGCCAUAGAUCUGGUUCGGUUCACCGGUUUAAUUUAUCUUGACCAACUUUGAUCCAAUUUUAAAAACAUUGGAUAUAGUCCUACAAUUUUAAAUUGAGUAUUUACCCCUUUUAAUUUAGUUCAAAGUCUAAAAAAAAUUCAACUUUCAAGAACAGUAAAUUUUCCAUCUAUAAUUAAGUGUUGCUUAUCCAAAUUAGUUCCAAGAAUACAAACAGCCAUAUCCAUUUUUUAAAUUUGUGAUUCAAAGUUUUGACCAAUAAAAAAGGCUCACACUUAAUAGUUUUUAAUGUAUAUUUUUUUCUUCACUAGUAGUUUUUAUUUUUUUUGUCCUCUUCAUUGUCACGAUUACAUAUAAAAACAGUGUGUUGUUUUCUUUGGUUUUUUUUUUUUUUUUGUAUAAAUCAAAUUUUAAAAAUAUAAAUUUAAUAUCUUGAUUUGUACUGUAAAAAUACAAAUAUUCACCAUAUGGAUAAUUUUGAAAAGAGAAAAGUAUUUGAUGUAAGAAUAGAUUAAUUAACAAACUAGAAAAGAGAAAUACAUUCAAUAAUAAUAAUAAUAAUAAUAAUAAUAAUAAUAAUAAUAAUAAUAAUAAUAAUAAUAAUAAUAAUAAUAAUAAUAAUAAUAAUAAUAAUAAUAAUAAUAAUUCUUACGUUUUUUUUUUUUUUUUGUAUAAAUCAAAUUUUAAAAAUAUAAAUUUAAUAUCUUGAUUUGUACUGUAAAAAUACAAAUAUUCACCAUAUGGAUAAUUUUGAAAAGAGAAAAGUAUUUGAUGUAAGAAUAGAUUAAUUAACAAACUAGAAAAGAAUAAUAAUAAUAAUAAUAAUAAUAAUAAUAAUAAUAAUAAUAAUAAUAAUAAUAAUAAUAAUAAUAAUGUGAAAACAAUGACAAUGUGUAAGCAUUAAAUAUUUAACAUAAUCCUGGAAAACACAAAAUUUAAAACUGAUAAGAAAUAAACAAAUUGCAGAAUUCAAUACUAUAGAGGAUAAGGAUGAUAGUAUAACAUAAAUUGAAGUAUAACUCUCCAAUUAACAAAAAUUUGACUUCCCUUGGAACUUAAAAUCUACUUAAUGAUGAUAACUCUCUUUAAUUGGUAAAUUUGAUAAUGCACGAGUAUCAACUUUGACAUCUGUUAUUAAUAUUAAUAUGCACCUGACUCUGAAUAUAUGCAUAUGUAUAUAAAUAGACACACCAUGUCUAUUCUAUUGCGUCAUUCAAAAAGAAAUAUACUAAUCAAAUUACUAACAAAAAAUGAAGUCCAAUAUCCUUGCCUUGUUCCUUCUCUUCUCUCUUGUCAUGGUAAGUUUUUCUUUAUGGAAGUUCUUUUCAUUUUUUCAACUAAUUAAUUAACUCUGUUAUUAUUUUUUGAAUUUUAAUUAAGUAUGUUUUAAUUAAAUAUGUUCAUUAUUUUUUUUUUUAAAUUUUAUUGUCUAUGGUGAAAUGAAUAGGUUGGUAACUUGAGCUAUGCAAGAAAAGAUGUUGGAGAGUAUUGGAAGAACAAGAUGAAUGAACAAGCUAUGCCAGAAGCAAUUAAGAACCUUGUUCAAGUUCAAAAACAGGACCAUUUUGUUAGGGACUUUGAUGUACACCCUAAUAUCAUAUUAUAUCAUACACAUGUCCAUGACAAGAAGCAGAAGACUUUUGAACCUGAAGUAUAGAAAUUGGAGUCAUUGUUACCAAAAAGGGGUUGAAGUUAAACCUUACAAGGCAUUUUUAUGACUAUAUGAACUUUGUCAUGAUUUGAUAUAAAAAAUGUCAUUUAUUAUGUAUGCCGAUAAAUAAAUAAAAAAUAUUUUCUCUGUUAUUACUAACUUCAG
rnacentral:lncRNA from 1 species